AUACGUAGGGUGCAAGCGUUGUCCGGAAUUAUUGGGCGUAAAGAGCUCGUGGGCGGCUUGUCGCGUCUGCUGUGAAAUCCCGGAGCUCAACUCCGGGCGUGCAGUGGGUACGGGCAGGCUAGAGUGCGGUAGGGGAGAUUGGAAUUCCUGGUGUAGCGGUGGAAUGCGCAGAUAUCAGGAGGAACACCGAUGGCGAAGGCGGAUCGCUGGGCCGCUACUGACGCUGAGGAGCGAAAGCAUGGGGAGCGAACAGGAUUAGAUACCCUGGUAGUCCAGGCCGUAAACGUUGGAAACUAGAUGUAGGGCCUGUUCCACGGGUUCUGUGUCGUAGCUAACGCAUUAAGUUCCCCGCCUGGGGAGUACGGCCGCAAGGCUAAAACUCAAAUGAAUUGACGGGG
rnacentral:rRNA from 1 species